CUUUCGGGGGUAGUAGAGUGGCGUCCGGGUGAGUAACACGUGGGUAUCUGCCUUCGGGUGGGGAAUAACUCAGGAAACUUGAGCUAAUACCGUAUAAUGCAGCGGCACCUAAUGGUGAUUAGUUGUUAAAGCGGGGGAUCGCAAGACCUCGCGCCUGAAGAGGAGCCUGCGGCAGAUUAGCUAGUUGGUGAGGUAAUGGCUCACCCAGUUCGAUCUGUAGCUGGUCUGAAGGACGGCCAGCCACACUGGGACUGAGACACGGCCCAGACUCCUACGGGAGGCAGCAGUGGGGAAUAUUGCGCAAUGGGCGAAAGCCUGACGCAGCGACGCCGCGUGGGUGAUGAAGGCCUUCGGGUCGUAAAGCCCUGUCAAGAGGGACGAAACCUCGUCGACCUAAUACGUCGGCGACCUGACGGUACCUCUGAAGGAAGCCCCGGCUAACUCCGUGCCAGCAGCCGCGGUAAUACGGAGGGUGCAAG
rnacentral:rRNA from 1 species